CUUAAGCAUGCAAGUCGAACGGCAAGAGGUAGCAAUACCUCCUAGAGUGGCGGACUGGUGAGUAACACGUGGGUGACAUACCCUUCAGAUGGGGAUAGCUAUUAGAAAUAGUAGAUAAUACCGAAUACGAGCACAGGGGUUAGAGAUCUGUGAGGAAAGGAGCUAAGGCUCCGCUGAAGGAAUGGCCUGCGGCCCAUUAGCUAGUUGGUGAGGUAAGAGCCCACCAAGGCGAUGAUGGGUAUCCCGGCCUUAGAGGGUGAACGGACACAUUGGGACUGAGAUACGGCCCAGACUCCUACGGGAGGCAGCAGCUAAGAAUAUUCCGCAAUGGACGAAAGUCUGACGGAGCGACGCCGCGUGGAUGAAGAAGGCCGGAAGGUUAGUAAAAUUCCUUUUGAAACUGAAGAAUAAGCGUUGUAGGGAAUGACAGCGUGGUGACAGUUAGGUUUUGAAUAAGCAACGGCUAAUUACGUGCCAGCCGCUGC
rnacentral:rRNA from 1 species